rnacentral:rRNA from 1 species
UACGUAGGGUGCGAGCGUUGUCCGGAAUUACUGGGCGUAAAGGGCUCGUAGGUGGCCAACUAAGUCGGACGUGAAAUCCCUCGGCUUAACCGGGGAACUGCGUCCGAUACUGGUUGGCUUGAGUUUGGGAGAGGGAUGCGGAAUUCCAGGUGUAGCGGUGAAAUGCGUAGAUAUCGCUUGGAACGCCAAUGGUGAAAACAGCUCGCUGGGGGUGUGCUGACGCUGAGACACGAAAGCCAGGGGAGCGAACGGG